GACAGAGGGUGCAAACGUUUGUUCGGAAUUACUGGGCGUAAAGCGUGUGUAGGCGGCUUUGCAAGUCGGAUGUGAAAGCCCCGGGCUCAACCCGGGAAGUGCACUCGAUACUGCGGAGCUUUGAGUGUCGGAGAGGUUGGUGGAAUUCUCGGUGUAGAGGUGAAAUUCGUAGAUAUCGAGAGGAACACCGGUGGCGAAGGCGGCCAACUGGACGAACACUGACGCUGAGACACGAAAGCGUGGGGAGCAAACAGG
rnacentral:rRNA from 1 species